rnacentral:sRNA from 1 species
GGCCUGAAGCGUUCAUCCAAAUUGAGCAGGAAUUGAUGAACCUUGUCGUCUUCACGUU